rnacentral:rRNA from 1 species
GACGAACGCUGGCGGCGUGCCUAAUACAUGCAAGUCGAACGCUGAAGCGAGGAGCUUGCUCUUCUUGCGUGAGUUGCGAACGGGUGAGUAACGCGUGGAUAACCUGCCUUUUAGCGGGGGAUAACUACUGGAAACGGGAGCUAAUACCGCAUAACAAUGGAUGCCACAUGGCACUUUUGUGAAAGGCGCAAUUGCUCCACUACAUGGUGGACUUGCGGUGUAUUAGGUUGUAGGUGAGGUAACGGCUCACCUAGGGGACGAAACAUAGCCCAACUGAGAGGGGGGAUGGCCCACCUGGGAAUUGGAACAGGCCCAAGACCCCUAAGGAAGGAAGCAGAAGGGAACCUCGGGAAUGGGGGGAAAGCUUAACGGGGAAAGCCGCGUGGGGGAAGAAGGGUUUCGGGUUCGAAAGCCCUGGUUUAUGGGGAAAAACAGUUGUGGAGUGGAAUGUGCACGUUGUGACGGUAGCUUAUCAGAAAGCGACGGCUAACUACGUG